UCCCGUGUGGCUCAGUUGGUAGAGCAUGGUGUUUGCAAUGCCAGGGUUGUGGGUUCAAUUCCCACAGGGGAC
rfam:Salmo salar isolate Sally breed double haploid chromosome ssa16, whole genome shotgun sequence.